CUGUUUUCUACCCCUUUCGUUUGGACAUUCACAUCUUCAUUCUUUUAGGAGGCUCACCUGAGUUUUAAUCAGUAAUGCUCGGGUUUGAAAGGCCUGAGAUGAUGGGUUUGAUAGAUCAGAGGUAAAUGUCUCUCCUCUGGACCGGAACACCACAGGCAACCUAAUGAUUGCAACAGCGGUAGUUGCAGUUGUUGUGGCUGUGAUGAUGGCAGUAGUGAUGACAGGAGUAGCUAUUGUAGUUGUGGUGGCAUUUGAUGCACUAGUGACGGUUGUAGUGGGUGCAGCUGUACCAGUAGUUGUUGAUGCACCACUCGUUGACGACACACCAGUGAAUAUUGUAGUGCGUUCACCAGUUGUUGUCAACACACCAGUGACGGUCAUAGUGGGUUCACCAGUUGUUUUUGUUGACUCAGUGAUGGAUGUAGUGAGUUCACCAGCUGUAGUUGAUGAAUCAGUUAUGGUUGUAGUGGGUCCACUAGUUGUUGUCGACCCACGAGUGACUGUUGUAGUGGGUUCACCAGUUGUUGUCAACACACCAAUAACAGUUGAAGUAAGUUCACCAGUUGUUAUUGAUGCUCCAAUGACAGUUGUAGUGGGUGCAGCUGUAACUGUUGAUGUCAAUCUACCAGUGAUGUUUGUAGUGGGUGAAACUGUAACCGUUAUUGUUGACACACCAGUCAUGGUUGUAGUGGGUUCACCAGUUGUUUUCGAUUCAGCACUGACCAUUGUUGUGUUUUCACUAGUAGUUGUUGAUGCAUCAAUGUCGAUUGUAGUGGGUUCCCCAGUUGUGGUCGACGCAGCAGGGACUCUUGUAGUGUGUUCACCAGUUGUUGUCGAUGAUCCACUUAAUGUUAUAGUGCGUUGCCUAGUUUCUUUUGAUGACUCAGUGAUGGAUGUAUUUGGUUCCCCAGUUGUUGUUGAUGAAUCAGUGAUGGUUGCAGUGGGUUCACUAGUUACUAUCGAUGCAUCAACGAUGGUUGGAGUGAGUUCACCUGUUAUUGUUGAUGAAUCAAUGACUGUUGCAGCUGCAUCCGUUGUUAUCGACAACACCAGUGAUGGUUGUAGCAGUUUCACUGGUAGUUGUUGUAUUGGGUUCACCAGUUGUUGAUGAAUCAGUAAUGGUUGUAGUGGGUUCACUAGUUGUUUUUGUUGAAUCAUUGAUGGUUGUAUUGGGUUCACCAGUUUCUGUCGAUGCAUCAUUGUCGGUUGCAGUGUUUUCAUCAGUUGUUCUGGAUGAACCAGUGAUGGUGGUAGUGGGUUCAUCAGUUGUUGUUGAUGACCCAAAAACGAUUUUAAUGGGUUCACCAAUUGUUGUCGUUGACUCAGUGGAGGUUUUAGAUGGUUCUCCAGUUGUUUUUGUUGAUGUAGUGGUGGUUUUAGUUGGUUCAGCAGUUGUUUUUGUUGAUUUAGUGGUGGUUUUAGUUGGUUCACCAGUUGUUUUUGUUGAUGUAGUGGUGGUUUUAGUUGGUUCAGCAGUUGUUUUUGUUGAUUUAGUGGUGGUUUUAGUUGGUUCAGCAGUUGUUUUUGUUGAUUUAGUGGUGGUUUUAGUUGGUUCACCAGUUGUUUUUGUUGAUUUAGUGGUGGUUUUAGUUGGUUCACCAGUUGAUUUUGUUGAUUUAGUGGUGGUUUUAGUUGGUUCACCAGUUGUUGGUGGUGAAUUAGUGACGGUUGUAGCGGUUCACCAGUUGUUGUCGAUGCGUCAAUGAAUGUUGUAUUUGGUUCACCAGUUGUUUUUGAUGACUCAGUGAUGGUUGUAGUGGGUUCACCAGUUGUAGUCGAUGCAUCAGUUACGGUUGUAGUGGGUUCACCAGUUGUAGUCGAUGCAUCAGUUACGGUUGUAGUGGGUUCACCAGUUGUAGUCGAUGCAUCAGUUACGGUUGUAGUGGGUUCAUCAGUUUUUGUCGAUGCAUCAGUGAUUGUUGUACUGGUUGCGGAUGUAGGAUUCAUAGUAAUGACCACUAC
rnacentral:lncRNA from 1 species